rnacentral:rRNA from 1 species
CCUACGGGCGGCAGCAGUGAGGAAUAUUGGUCAAUGGGCUUACGCCUGAACCAGCCAAGUCGCGUGAGGGAAGACUGCCCUAUGGGUUGUAAACCUCUUUUGUCAGGGAGCAACGCCGGCUACGUGUAGCCGGACUGAGAGUACCUGCAGAAAAAGCAUCGGCUAACUCCGUGCCAGCAGCCGCGGUAAUACGGAGGAUGCGAGCGUUAUCCGGAUUGAUUGGGUUUAAAGGGUGCGUAGGCCGAAUGCCAAGUCAGCGGUAAAAUCGCGGGGCUCAACCUCGCUCCGCCGUUGAAACUGGCGUUCUUGAGUGGGCGAGAAGUAUGCGGAAUGCGUGGUGUAGCGGUGAAAUGCAUAGAUAUCACGCAGAACUCCGAUUGCGAAGGCAGCAUACCGGCGCCCAACUGACGCUGAAGCACGAAAGCGUGGGUAUCGAACAGGAUUAGAUACCCGAGUAGUC